UACGGGGGGGGCAAGCGUUGUUCGGAAUUACUGGGCGUAAAGGGCUCGUAGGCGGCCAACUAAGUCAGACGUGAAAUCCCCCGGCUCAACCGGGGAAGGGGCGCCGAUACGACCGGCCUGGAGGGACGUAGGGGGGGCUGGAACUUCCGGUGGAGCGGUGAAAUGCGUUGAGAUCGGAAGGAACGCCCGUGGCGAAAGCGAGCCCCUGGACGUCUACUGACGCUGAGACGCGAAAGCCAGGGGAGCGAACGGG
rnacentral:rRNA from 1 species